UAAGUAGGGCGCAAGCGUUGUCCGGAAUUAUUGGGCGUAAAGAGCUCGUAGGCGGUCUGUCGCGUCUGCUGUGAAAACUCGGGGCUUAACCCCGGGCCUGCAGUGGGUACGGGCAGACUAGAGUGCGGUAGGGGAGACUGGAAUUCCUGGUGUAGCGGUGAAAUGCGCAGAUAUCAGGAGGAACACCGGUGGCGAAGGCGGGUCUCUGGGCCGUAACUGACGCUGAGGAGCGAAAGCAUGGGGAGCGAACAGG
rnacentral:rRNA from 1 species